AUUGAACGCUGGCGGCAGGCCUAACACAUGCAAGUCGAGCGGAUGAAGGGAGCUUGCUCCUGGAUUCAGCGGCGGACGGGCGAGUAAUGCCUAGGAAUCUGCCUGGUAGUGGGGGAUAACGUCCGGAAACGGGCGCUAAUACCGCAUACGUCCUGAGGGAGAAAGGGGGGGAUCUUCGGACCUCACGCUAUCAGAUGAGCCUAGGUCGGAUUAGCUAGUUGGUGGGGUAAAGGCCUACCAAGGCGACGAUCCGUAACUGGUCUGAGAGGAUGAUCAGUCACACUGGAACUGAGACACGGUCCAGACUCCUACGGGAGGCAGCAGUGGGGAAUAUUGGACAAUGGGCGAAAGCCUGAUCCAGCCAUGCCGCGUGUGUGAAGAAGGUCUUCGGAUUGUAAAGCACUUUUAGUUGGGAGGAAGAGCAGUAAGUUAAUACCUUGCUGUUUUGACGGUACCAACAGAAUAAGCACCGGCUAACUUCGUG
rnacentral:rRNA from 1 species